UACGAAGGGGGCUAGCGUUGCUCGGAAUCACUGGGCGUAAAGCGCACGUAGGCGGCUUCUUAAGUCAGGGGUGAAAUCCUGGAGCUCAACUCCAGAACUGCCUUUGAUACUGGGAAGCUCGAGUCCGGGAGAGGUGAGUGGAACUCCGAGUGUAGAGGUGAAAUUCGUAGAUAUUCGCAAGAACACCAGUGGCGAAGGCGGCUCACUGGCCCGGUACUGACGCUGAGGUGCGAAAGCGUGGGGAGCAAACAGG
rnacentral:rRNA from 1 species